CCUACGGGUGGCAGCAGUGGGGAAUUUUGCGCAAUGCUCGUAAGAGUGACGCAGCGACGCCGCGUGAAUGACGAAGGCCUUCGGUUCGUAAAGCUCUUUCGACAGGGAAGAACAUGCCUGUAAGUAACUGUGUAUCUAUUGACGGUACCUGUAUAAGCAGCCCCGGCUAACUCCGUGCCAGCAGCCGCGGUAAUACGGAGGUGGCGGGCGUUGUCCGGAGUGGCUGGGCGUAAAGAGCACGUAGGCGGUGUUGUAAGUCAUUAGUCAAAGACUAGAGCUCAACUUUGGUCGGGCUAGUGAUACUAGAAGACUAGAGUAUCAAAGAGGAGUGCAGAAUUCCUGGUGUAGCGGUGAAAUGCGUAGAUAUCAGGAGGAAUACCGUUAGCGAAGGCGGCAAUCUGGCUGGAAACUGACGCUGAGGUGCGAAAGCGUGGGUAGCAAACAGGAUUAGAUACCCCGGUAGUC
rnacentral:rRNA from 1 species